rnacentral:rRNA from 1 species
GACGAACGCUGGCGGCGUGCUUAACACAUGCAAGUCGAACGAAAAGAGGGAAAGAGCUUGCUCUUUCCGGAAUUGAGUGGCAAACGGGUGAGUAACACGUAAACAACCUGCCUUCAGGAUGGGGACAACAGACGGAAACGACUGCUAAUACCGAAUAAGUUCCACGGGCCGCAUGGCCCAUGGAAGAAAAGGUGGCCUCUACCUGUAAGCUAUCGCCUGAAGAGGGGUUUGCGUCUGAUUAGCUGGUUGGAGGGGUAACGGCCCACCAAGGCGACGAUCAGUAGCCGGUCUGAGAGGAUGAACGGCCACACUGGGAGUGAGACACGGUCCAGACUCCUACGGGAGGCAGCAGUGGGGAAUCUUCCGCAAGAGGCGAAAGCCUGACGGAGCAACGCCGCGUGAGUGAUGACGGCCUUCGGGUUGUAAAACUCUGUGAUCCGGGACGAAAAGGCAGAGUGCGAAGAACAAACUGCAUUGACGGUACCGGAAAAGCAAGCCACGGCUAACUACGUG